UCGAACGGGGUUUAUAUGACGGAACUCUCCGGAGGGAAGAUAUAUAAACCUAGUGGCGGACGGGUGAGUAACGCGUGGGCAACCUGCCCUGUACCGGGGGACAACAGCCAGAAAUGGCUGCUAAUACCGCAUAAGCCUGCUGUGCCGCAUGGCACAGCAGGGAAAACCACGGUGGUACAGGAUGGGCCCGCGUCUGAUUAGUUAGUUGGCAGGGUAACGGCCUACCAAGACAACGAUCAGUAGCCGGCUUGAGAGAGUGGACGGCCACAUUGGGACUGAGACACGGCCCAGACUCCUGCGGGAGGCAGCAGUGGGGAAUAUUGCACAAUGGGGGGAACCCUGAUGCAGCAAUGCCGCGUGGGUGAAGAAGCACUCCGGUGCGUAAAGCCCUGUCAGCAGGGAAGAAAAUGACAGUACCUGGACAAGAAGCCCCGGCUAACUACGUGCCAGCAGCCGCGGUAAUACGUAGGGGGCAAGCGUUAUCCGGAUUUACUGGGUGUAAAGGGAGCGCAGGCGGCGUGGCAAGUCAGAUGUGAAAACCCGGGGCCCAACCCCGGGAGUGCAUUUGAAACUGCCAUGCUGGAGUGCCGGAGAGGUAAGCGGAAUUCCUAGUGUAGCGGUGAAAUGCGUAGAUAUUAGGAGGAACACCAGUGGCGAAGGCGACUUUCUGGACAGUAACUGA
rnacentral:rRNA from 1 species